rnacentral:pre_miRNA from 1 species
GCCACGGGGGAACGCUGCUACGUUGCUUUCACUUGGUGCGCUCGUACUUUGAGCAAAAGUAAACAUAGAUCCAUGUGAUGUGACGUAGUGGUACCCUCCCGUGU